rnacentral:rRNA from 1 species
UACAGAGGUCCCAAGCGUUGUUCGGAUUCACUGGGCGUAAAGGGCGCGUAGGCGGCCACCGCAAGUCGACUGUGAAAUCUCCGGGCUUAACUCGGAAAGGUCAGCCGAUACUGCGGGGCUAGAGUGCAGAAGGGGCAACUGGAAUUCUCGGUGUAGCGGAUGAAAUGCGUAGAUAUCGAGAGGAACACCUGCGGCGAAGGCGGGUUGCUGGGCUGACACUGACGCUGAUUGUGCGAAAGCUAGGGGGAGCGAACGGG